rnacentral:rRNA from 1 species
GACAGAGGGUGCGAACGUUGUUCGGAAUUACUGGGCGUAAAGCGCGUGUAGGCGGCAAUGCAAGUCGGGCGUGAAAUCCCACGGCUCAACCGUGGAAGUGCACUCGAAACUGCAUAGCUAGAGUCCUGGAGAGGAAGGUGGAAUGCUUGGUGUAGAGGUGAAAUUCGUAGAUAUCAAGCGGAGCACCGGUGGCGAAGGCGGCCUUCUGGACAGUGACUGACGCUGAGACGCGAAAGCGUGGGGAGCAAACAGG